rnacentral:SRP_RNA from 1 species
GCCGGGCUUGGUAACGCGAGCCUGUUACUCAGUGAGGGCUUUAAAGUGGGCUGGACUGUGACUGAACCUAGAAUGGUUGGGCCAAGUUGUUGCAAUAUCUGGCCUGCCUGUUCCAAGUUUGGAGUUGAGCCAUGUGGUUUGGGCGAAGGCUCGGGCCACUUGGUUCCUAGAGUUGAGGGCAAUGCGUUAGGCUGGUUUCACAGAGCUGCGAGAACUUCACGCUCUGAACAGUGGAAGGAUAACAGGCCGGUGCAACCUUGACCCAAAUAACCAUCUGGGUUCCUUCUAAUGAACUCCCACUUUUUU